CAGCUGUCUUGAAAUCACUUUGAUUUUCACUUUCUUGUUCGUAUUGCUUUCCAGUCGGGGAGCACAUGAAUUACGCGACCAGUCAACAAUMUCACAAGACGGUCUCAGAAAAUUCACUGUUCCCCCUUUGAAGUGCUUUUGUCGCCAAAAGAUUGUCAAGUGCUUUCCAAUAUGCUUACGAACAGUGGCAGGCGACGCGAGAAAGGAAAGGCGAUGCGCCCUCAGGAAACGGUAGCCAUGCAAGAUGGGUGGAUCUCCAUCAGCAGCAAGCCCUGUCUACUCUGUGGAGUGCAGAUGGUGCACCAGCGCAAGUCCACCAGCAAAUGACGCUUGCUCUAGAUUCACAUCAGUCUCAUCAGGAUCCGCAUGSAGUCAGUUGUGAGCCAGKUGUGACCACCACGGUUGCAAGACCUUGCAUGAGUGAGAAGUGGACUCUGUGCAAGGAGAUCUGCACAAUGCAAAUGCUGUCCUGA
rnacentral:lncRNA from 1 species